GUGAAUCAUCGAAUUUUUGAACGCAAAUUGCACUCUCUUCGGAGAGUAUGCCUGUUUGAGGGUCAGCCUAAAAAAAAUCGACAUAGUUGCUGUUACGCGGUAACAUUCGUCGGAAAUUGGGUCAUCUUAAACCUUGGGUUUUAGCGGGCUAAAAUUUUCUUUUAGAUUCCCAAGAAGGUUCUUAGGUUUUAUCCUCUUAUUCGUUUAAGGUA
rnacentral:misc_RNA from 1 species